UACAGAGGGGGCAAGCGUUGUUCGGAAUUACUGGGCGUAAAGGGCGCGUAGGCGGCCUUCUAAGUCGAACGUGAAAUCCCUGGGCUCAACCCAGGAACUGCGUCCGAUACUGGAAGGCUUGAAUCCGGGAGAGGGAUGCGGAAUUCCUGGUGUAGGAGUGAAAUCCGUAGAUAUCAGGAGGAAUAUCGGAGGCGAAGGCGGCCAACUGGUGAUGCAUUGACGCUAAGGUGCGAAAGCGUGGGGAGCAAACAGG
rnacentral:rRNA from 1 species